rnacentral:rRNA from 1 species
UACGUAGGGACCAAGCGUUGUUCGGAUUUACUGGGCGUAAAGGGCGCGUAGGCGGUUCGUUAAGUCUGGUGUGAAAUCUCCCGGCUCAACCGGGAGGGGUCAUCGGAUACUGGCGGACUAGAGACAGGUAGAGGAAAGCAGAAUUCCCGGUGUAGCGGUGAAAUGCGUAGAUAUCGGGAGGAAUACCAGUGGCGAAGGCGGCUUUCUGGGCCUGUUCUGACGCUGAGGAGCGAAAGCGUGGGGAGCAAACCGG